rnacentral:rRNA from 1 species
GACGAACGCUGGCGGCGUGCCUAACACAUGCAAGUUGAGCGCUGAAGGCUGGUACUUGUACCCACUGGAUGAUCAGCGAACGGGUGAGUAACGCGUGGGGAAUCUGCCUCCGAGCGGGGGACAACAUUUGGAAACGAAUGCUACUACCGCAUAAAAACUUUAAACACAAGUUUUAAGUUUGAAAGAUGCAAUUGCAUCACUCAAAGAUGAGCCAGCGUUGGAUUAGCUAGCUGGUGAGGUAAAGGCUCACCAAGGCGAUGAUACAUAGCCGACCUGCGAGGAUGAUAAGACAGACUGGGAAUGAGACAGGGACAAGACGAGUACGGGAGGCAGCAGUGGGGAAUAGUGGACAAUGGGAGAAAGACUGAUGGAGCAAUGCCGAGGGAGUGAUGAAGGGCUUAGGGUUGUAAAGCUCUUUUACAAGGGAUGAUAAUGACAGUAACGGGAGAAUAAGGUCCGGCUAACUCCGUG